rnacentral:rRNA from 1 species
UAACGCGAAGAACCUUACCUGGUCUUGACAUCCACGGAAGUUUUCAGAGAUGAGAAUGUGCCUUCGGGAACCGUGAGACAGGUGCUGCAUGGCUGUCGUCAGCUCGUGUUGUGAAAUGUUGGGUUAAGUCCCGCAACGAGCGCAACCCUUAUCCUUUGUUGCCAGCGGUCCGGCCGGGAACUCAAAGGAGACUGCCAGUGAUAAACUGGAGGAAGGUGGGGAUGACGUCAAGUCAUCAUGGCCCUUACGACCAGGGCUACACACGUGCUACAAUGGCGCAUACAAAGAGAAGCGACCUCGCGAGAGCAAGCGGACCUCAUAAAGUGCGUCGUAGUCCGGAUUGGAGUCUGCAACUCGACUCCAUGAAGUCGGAAUCGCUAGUAAUCGUGGAUCAGAAUGCCACGGUGAAUACGUUCUCGGGCCUUGUACACACCG